rnacentral:rRNA from 1 species
AUUGAACGCUGGCGGCAGGCUUAACACAUGCAAGUCGAACGAUGAAGAUAUAGCUUGCUAUAUCGGAUUAGUGGCGGACGGGUGAGUAACACUUAGGAAUCUACCUUUUAGCGGGGGAUAGCUCGGGGAAACUCGAAUUAAUACCGCAUAAUUUCUACGGAAUAAAGAGGGCUUUUAGCUCUCACUAGAAGAUGAGCCUAAGUAAGAUUAGCUAGUUGGUGGGGUAAAAGCCUACCAAGGCGACGAUCUUUAGCUGGUCUGAGAGGAUGAUCAGCCACACUGGGACUGAGACACGGCCCAGACUCCUACGGGAGGCAGCAGUGGGGAAUAUUGGACAAUGGGGGCAACCCUGAUCCAGCCACGCCGCGUGUGUGAAGAAGGCCUUUUGGUUGUAAAGCACUUUAAGCAGUGAAGAAGACCUAUUGGUUAACACCCAAUAGCGAUGACAUUAACUGCAGAAUAAGCACCGGCUAACUCUGUGCCAGCAGCCGCGGUAAUACAGAGGGUGCAAGCGUUAAUCGGAAUUACUGGGCGUAAAGCGAGCGUAGGUGGUUAAAUAAGUCAGAUGUGAAAGCCCUGGGCUCAACCUAGGAACGGCAUCUGAGACUAUUUAACUAGAGUAGGUGAGAGGGAAGUAGAAUUUCAGGUGUAGCGGUGAAAUGCGUAGAGAUCUGAAGGAAUACCGAUGGCGAAGGCAGCUUCCUGGCAUCAUACUGACACUGAGGCUCGGAAGCGUGGGUAGCAAACAGG